rnacentral:rRNA from 1 species
UACGUAGGGGGCAAGCGUUGUCCGGAAUCAUUGGGCGUAAAGCGCGUGUAGGCGGCUCGGUAAGUCUGCUGUGAAAGUCCAGGGCUCAACCCUGGGAUGCCGGUGGAUACUGUCGAGCUCGAGUCCGGAAGAGGCGAGUGGAAUUCCUGGUGUAGCGGUGAAAUGCGCAGAUAUCAGGAGGAACACCAAUGGCGAAGGCAGCUCGCUGGGACGUGACUGACGCUGAGACGCGAAAGCGU